GAUAUAUCCAGGUGGCGUAGCGGGCAGCGGUGGUGAGUUGAUGGGAGUAAAUAGGUGGAUCCAAUGGGGUAGCGGAAUCCUCCGACGACCAGGCGGGAAUGGAGUAAAUGAUCCGGGUGAGUAACUGAAGACAGAACAAACUGAGGGAAUGGAUGUCAGGUCCGGGCUUAUGAAGAGGAGAGAUGAUGAUCAGGACCAGGUGUGCAGAUAGCUGAUGGGAUACAGGUGCGGGUAAUCAGAACUCCCAACUGGCUACAUUGCCCGGCAACCAGACAGGGUGCGUUCCAGGACGCCGGAAAAAACACUCCAGGACAGAACACAGGCAAAAAACAGACCCAGGAAACGGGAUUCGUGACACUGACUGCAAACUUUUUUCACAAGGGAAAUGAGAGCUGGUGAAGUCUCACUUCUAAAGGAGUGCAUAAUGCAGGUUAGCUGUGGAUUAUUUAUUUACUAAACUGUCGUCACACCUUUGCUCAAACAGAUACUGUACAGUGUGCCUUUUGGUCAAACAGAACAGUGUGUGUUCAGUUAACGACUGUCUAGACCUGCUGGGGCAUGUCCAAUAAGGACCAUAGUCCUGGCCUAAUGUACCUUCACUAAAUCAGACAGUUGUUGAUGUAGUUUUCAAUCAUUGAUUAGUUACUACUCUCUCCAGUUAGAAACUCGAUAUUCAUCACCAUGUCCUCGGUGUGACAGCAAUAAAUGUGUUCUGUGGUAGUGUCUAAACUGUACCAGCAGAUGGCAGCAUAUAGACAGACAAAGAUUAUGGGGAAAGGCAAAGGAAAAUGUGAAAACAGCUCGAGGCUUAACUACAACUUGUGUAUUAUCUUAACAACCAACAUAACAAUACUCGAAAUAGGCGAUGUAAUUGCAUCAUAACAAAAGUACAUAUUAUACACGUGUUAAUAAUGCUAGAAAUAUAAGUAUGGACACUUAAAUUCAACCUGUAACAAACUGAAGGGGAUUGCAUGGCCAGUUUGAGAGAGGCAUUGUGUGAUAAUAUAUUUUCGUAUUUUUAAACGAGGCAAGUCAGUUAAGAACAAAUUUUUAUUUACAAUGACAGCCUACACAGGACAAACCCAUACGAUACUGGGCCAAUUGUGCACCACCCUAUGGGACUCCCAAACACAAUCACUCUGAUACAGCCCAGAUUUGAACCAAGGUGUCUCUAGCAACCCCUCUUGCACAGAGAUGCUGAGUCUUAGACCGCUGCGCCACUCGGGAACCCCAAAUACUAGACUCCUAUCUAAGAAACCUCAUCACGAAUAAAUAAAUGCAAAACAGGACUUAAAUCAAUUAAUGUACAAGUGACCUUUGGUUUGACUGCGCUACAUCUCGUGACAUUGUCAUUUAGAAUAUUCAAAAUGUUUAUUUUUUUUGUCCGCUGUACACCCGCAAGGUUACGGAAAAGGUCACUGGGACACUCCAUAGUAACCUUCGUCAAACUCACAUCCACUUUGUUGUUUGCAUUCUUUAUUUCUGAUUUAAUAAAGAUGAAUAUUUGAAUAAUGCA